GAAGAGAUUGUGACAUAUCACUGAACUGAGCACCUUGGUGAUGUGACUAUCCUCUCUUGCUCAAGUGUCACAUAUUAUUGGUAUUGUGACAUACCUCUGUGACCAACACCUAUGGGUAGGAAAACUUCCACCCAGACUCAGCCCAAGGGACCCUCAUCACUUUUUUAAAAGAUAUGUGACUUGAAAAAUGUGACUGUCUUCUGCCUAUACCCUGCCCUCAGGGAAGAUUGUGGCAUAUUACUGAACUAGGCAACCUAGUGAUGUGUCUCUUCUGACAGGGGUUUGCCCACAUAGACAAUUGUGACAUAUCACUGGGCUCAGGACCCAGGUGAUGUGACUCUGCUGCCUGUUCCCAACGUUCAAGAGAGGAUUGUAACAUAUCCCUGGCCAAGAACUCAGGUGAUUUGACUCUCCUGCCUUGUCCCUGUCCUCAGAGAAGAUUGUGAUAUAUCUUCAGCCCCAAACCCAGGUCAUGUGACUUCCCCACUCGCUCCCUAUUCAGAGGAGAAACUAUUACAUAUAUCCUGGGCCAGCUCACAGGUGUGAUGACAAUUCUCAUACCUCAAACAAGCCAAUAGAAGAGAUACUGUUUCUCAUUGCUAGGCUUAGAAAAACUGGUAAAAUACCUGUGUCUCUUUGUAUGAAGGUCAUAGAGAACUACCACAAACUUGUAUAUGGAAUAAAACCCUUCAGUGGUACAGAGAGUGUCAUCACAUGUCCCAAAACAAAGAGGAUAUUGCGUUUCUUGUAUGCACAUCCAGCCAGCUGUUAGGAUUGUCACCCUAACACCUGGAUACAACCCAUUGGUGAGGUCUUGUGUCUCACAUGCAGAUGCAAUCUACAGUUUGAUUCCUGACUGUCAUAUGUAAACACCUGUCCAAAGUUGGGAUGCUGACUCAUUUCUAGACCCAGCUCAUAGACAAGUGAGGACUCUCCUGUCUGGGUCCAGUCAAUUUGAGAAAUAUUGACUUUUCUACCUGGGCUUAGGGAGCAGUACAAAGGUCUCAGGGCAAAUUGUGGCUCUCAUUCCUAUUCUACAAUGAUCUUGGGUAGUAUAGAGAAUGUCCUAACAGGGUUCAGCACACAGGUAAGAUUGUGACAGUGAUAUCCACACCCAGCUGACAGUAAAAAUUGACAUCUUUCCUCAUGAAUACAGCCCACUGAAUACAGCCCACUGUUGAGGCAUUGAAUCUCAUAACCAAAGGCAGUGGAAAAUUGAAACAUUGUCUCUUGCUUGUAGACCCAAUCCACAGGUGGAUUGGUUACUCUCAGAUCAAAAUUCAGCACACUUAUGAGGCCAUCACUCCAGUAAGAAAACAGAAUUUGCAGAACAAAUUGAGGCUUCCAUGCACAAAUUCAGCCCACUACUGAGACUGUGACUCAUUUACUUAGACCCAACAUAUAGGAAGUGUUGACUCUUAUACCUAGAAUUGGGACAUGUGUAAGAUUGUUCAUCUUUUCCUUAGACUUUCCUGCAGGAGUGAUGCUGACAUGUUCCUCUAUUUGGCAUCUGAGUGAUAUGACCCUUGCCAUGGUCUAGCCCACAGAUGGAAUUGUGAUGUGUUGCUCUACCCAGCACCUAGGUGAUGUGACUCCAUUUUUCUGCCUUGACACUGUCCAUAAAAGGUAUUUUGACAUAUCUCUGGGAUAUGUACCCAGGUUACAUGACUCUCCUGCCUGUGUCCUGUCCACAAAUUAUGAAAUAUUACUGGGUCCAACACCCAGGGAUGUAACUCUCAUGCCUAGGCCCUGCCAACAGGGGGCAUUAUGACAAAUCUGUGUGCCAAUAACCCAGGUAAUGUGACUCUCUUUUUUUGCAUGGUCCCUGCUCACAGGGGGCAUUAUGACAUAUUGCUGAACUCAGCAUCUAACUGAUGUGAUUCUCCUUUCUACUUUUUGCCCACAGUGGAGAUUGUGACAUAUCACUGGGCCUCAAACUAAUGUGAUGUUACACUUUCAUUUUUGAACUGAACUCAGAAGGCACUGUGACAUAUUCCUGGGAACAGCACCAAGGUUAUCCCACUGUUGAGGUCCUGAAUCUCCCACCCAGAGGCAGUGGAAAGUUGGAGAAUUAACUCUCAUGCGUGGAUCUGAUACAUAGCCACAGGUGGGAGAGUGACUCAUAUCUGAACCCAACUAAGAGGCACAGUCAUGAUUUUCAUACCUGGACCCAGCCAAUAUGAGAGGUGUUGACUCUCAUACCUGGACUUAGGAAAAGAGCCCACAGUAAAAAGUGUCACCCUCCCACAUGAAUAGAGACCACUGAUGAGCUUCUGAAUUGUACAUCUGGAUGCAGUUGAAAGCUGGAAUUCUGAUUCUCGUAUGUGCAUUUUGUCCAGAGGUAGAUGAUGACUCUAGGAUCAGGGUUCAUCACACAGGCCAUGCCAGUUGAGGGGGAUUGUGACAUAUCGUUGGACCAGCACAAGGGAAAUUGAAAACUCCUGCCUAGGCCAUUCCCAUAGAAGGCAUUGUGACAUAUCACUGGUCACAGCACACAGGUGAGAAUUUUACAUAAAACUGCACCCAGCACACAGGUGAAAUUGUGACUCUUGGAUGUUCAUCCAGCCAACAGUUAUGAGUGUCAUCAUCGCACAUGGACAGAGAACUCUGGUGAGGUCCUGAAUCUUGUACACGGACAUAGUCCACAGUUGGAAUUUUGACUGUCAUGUGUAGAUCCAGCCACAGGUGUGAUGUUGACCUGUUUAUGGAGUUAGCUCACAGGCACAGUGAGAACUCUCAUAUCUUGACCCAGUCAAUAGAAGAGAUGCUGACUCUUAUAGCUAGGCUUAAGGAAAUUAAUAGGGUCCUGGGUCUCCUACCUGUAUGAAAGUCACAGAAGAUUAUGACACUCAUGCAUAUUGUAUAAAGCCCUCUGGUGGUAUAGAGAUUAAUUAACAGGGCCCAGCACACAGGUGAGAUUGUGACUUUGUUAUGCAGACACCGCUGACAGUACCAUCACCCUCACAUAUAAACAGAGCCCACUGGUGAGGUCCUAAAUUUCAUGCCCUGACACAGUUCACAGUUGGGAUUGUGACUGUGAUAUUUCAAUCUGAUCACAGGUGAGAUGGUGACUCAUUUCUGGAUCCAGCUUAGAAAAUAGUGAAGGCUCUUUCACCUGGACUCAGCCAAAUGGAGAGACGUUGACUCUGUUAACUAGGCUUAGGGCAGCACAUAAGGUUCUAGGUCUCCUGCUUGCAUAAAGGUAGCAGAGGAUUAUGACACUAUACAUAUUGUACAAAGUCCCCCAUUGGUCCUGAGAGGGUCAUAACAGGGUCUGGCACACAGGUGAGACUGUGACUCUGGUAUGCACACAGGCAGAGUAAGGAUUAUCAACCUCCUACAUGGACACAGCCCACUGUUGAGAUUCUGAAUCUCACAACCAGAAGCAGUCAAAAGUUGGAGUUGUGACUCUCAUAGGUGGAUGUGGUCCACAGCUGAGAUGAUGACCUCAGACCAGGAGGCAGCACACCUGGAGGCUGUGACUCCUCUACCGAGAUGCAGUCUGCAGGUGUGAUUGUGGCUGUCAUGCACAAAUCCAGUCCACCUUUGACAUUGUGACACCCUUACUGAGACCCAGUUCACAGGAGGAGUUCACUCUGAUACAUAGAGCU
rnacentral:lncRNA from 1 species